UUACGUUGUUAUCCCUAAGGUAAUUUAAUCUUAUAAUCAAAAUAAAUGGAUCAAAAAUAUAUACAUAAAUAUAUAAAAACAAAGAGGAGUUAAAUAAUAUUCCUCCCAUCACCCCAACAAAACAAUUCACUCCCACUCAAUGUAAAUAAACACAAACAACGAAUUAAAUAGGAAAAUUGUCAAACUCUAUAGGGUCUUCUCGUCCCAUAAAAACAUUUAAGAAUUUUAACUCAAAAACCAAAUUCAAUAAACCAAUACCUCUAAGACAGCUUAUGUCUCGUCAAGCCAUUCAUACCAGAUCACAAUUAAAGAACUAAUGAUUAUGCUACCUUUGCACGGUCAAAAUACCGCGGCCCUUCAACUCUAAGUCAGUGGGCAGGCCAUACUUCAAAAACUAACAAGAAAAGAUGUUUUUGAUAAACAGGCG
rnacentral:rRNA from 1 species